UGAAGCCCAGCUUGCUGGGUGGAUUAGUGGCGAACGGGUGAGUAACACGUGAGUAACCUGCCCUGGACUCUGGGAUAACUUCGGGAAACCGGAGCUAAUACCGGAUAGGACCUUUCACCGCAUGGUGGGGGGUGGAAAGUUUUUCGGUUUGGGAUGGACUCGCGGCCUAUCAGCUUGUUGGUGAGGUAAUGGCUCACCAAGGCGUCGACGGGUAGCCGGCCUGAGAGGGCGACCGGCCACACUGGGACUGAGAUACGGCCCAGACUCCUACGGGAGGCAGCAGUGGGGAAUAUUGCACAAUGGGCGCAAGCCUGAUGCAGCAACGCCGCGUGCGGGAUGACGGCCUUCGGG
rnacentral:rRNA from 1 species